rnacentral:rRNA from 1 species
AGUGAACGCUGGCGGUAGGCCUAACACAUGCAAGUCGAACGGCAGCACAGUAAGAGCUUGCUCUUACGGGUGGCGAGUGGCGGGCGGGUGAGGAAUACAUCGGAAUCUACUUUUUCGUGGGGGAUAACGUAGGGAAACUUACGCUAAUACCGCAUACGACCUACGGGUGAAAGCAGGGGAUCUUCGGACCUUGCGCGAUUGAAUGAGCCGAUGUCGGAUUAGCUAGUUGGCGGGGUAAAGGCCCACCAAGGCGACGAUCCGUAGCUGGUCUGAGAGGAGGAUCAGCGACACGGGAAGUGGAACACGGUCCAGGCUCCUAAGAGAGGGAGCAGUGGGGAAUGUUAGACAAUGGGCGCAAGCCUGAUCCAGCCAUACCGCGUGGGUGAAGAAGGCCUUCGGGUUGUAAAGACCUUUUGUUGGUAAAGAAAAGCAGCAGGUUAAUACCCCGCUGUUCUGACGGUACCCAAAGAAUAAGCACCGGCUAACUUCGUG